rfam:Myotis lucifugus cont2.49172, whole genome shotgun sequence.
GGCAGUUGUCAGGUAACACACCCAGAAUCAGGCUCCCUCCUCUCCGGUUCCAGGAUGUGUGACCUGAGAAUCGCC